rnacentral:rRNA from 1 species
ACUCCUACGGGAGGCAGCAGUGGGGAAUUUUGGACAAUGGGCGAAAGCCUGAUCCAGCAAUGCCGCGUGAGUGAAGAAGGCCUUCGGGUUGUAAAGCUCUUUUGUCAGGGAAGAAACGGUGAGAGCUAAUAUCUUUUGCUAAUGACGGUACCUGAAGAAUAAGCACCGGCUAACUACGUGCCAGCAGCCGCGGUAAUACGUAGGGUGCAAGCGUUAAUCGGAAUUACUGGGCGUAACGCGUGCGCAGGCGGUUUUGUAAGUCUGAUGUGAAAUCCCCGGGCUCAACCUGGGAAUUGCAUUGGAGACUGCAAGGCUAGAAUCUGGCAGAGGGGGGUAGAAUUCCACGUGUAGCAGUGAAAUGCGUAGAUAUGUGGAGGAACACCGAUGGCGAAGGCAGCCCCCUGGGUCAAGAUUGACGCUCAUGCACGAAAGCGUGGGGAGCAAACAGGAUUAGAUACCCGGGUAGUCCCA